rnacentral:rRNA from 1 species
GACGAACGCUGGCGGCGUGCCUAAUACAUGCAAGUCGACCUUAGUGGCGAAUGGGUGAGUAACACGUGGGUAACCUGCCCAACAGAAGGGGGUAACACUUGGAAACAGGCGCUAAUACCGUAUACUGAUGGAUGGAGCCGCGGUGCAGUAGCUAGUGGGUGAGGUAUCGGCUCACCAGGGCCACGAUGCAUAGCCGACCUGAGAGGGUGAUCGGCCACAUGGGGACUGGGAAACGGCCCAAACUCCUACGGGAGGCAGCAGUAGGGAAUCUUCGGCAAUGGACGAAAGUCUGACCGAGCAACGCCGCGUUAGUGAGGAGGGUUUUCGGAUCGUAAACCUCUGUUGUUAGAGAAGCGGUAUCUAACCAGAAAGCCACGGCUAACUACGUGCCAGCCGCCGCGGUAAUUC